CAUAUAUAAAUAUCCACAGCUCCUUUCUCCGCACACCCAACCCAUCUUUUUAUUUCACCAAUUUACACUCUAUCUCAAAUUGCUUCGUCCUUUCUUCGAUUCUUGAACACUCUCUCUCUUUUUCUGAUUUGGAAGAUGAGUCCUAUGAAUUUAUACGCUCUUCCGAUUAUUGGAUUCAUGUUCUUGGCGCUUUUGCAGCUUGGCCAUGGGCAAGCAAUAGCUCCUUCUCCUGCAGCAGAAGGCCCAUCCAGCGAUGGAAAUACAAUUGAUCAAGGAAUUGCUUAUGUUCUUAUGUUAGUGGCUCUUGCAGUCACAUACCUUUUCCAUUGAUUCUUUUCUAUGGGUUCAGAUUCUUUAUGUAAUUUCUUCCCAAUCUCACAAGAGAAAUUGCAGCCAUUUUGUAUUUUAUUUUUUCAAUCAGUAAAUAUCUUGUAACUUAUUUUUUUUGAGGAAAAAUAAUAAAGUCCAAUAUAUUUCUUAUCAGGGGAAA